rnacentral:lncRNA from 1 species
GUUUGCCUCCGUGCUGCUGCUGCUGCACGGCCGACUGAUGGAUGUUGUGCAGGUGGUGAUGUCCAGCCACUUUACCGGACAUUAAAUGUUGGUGAUGGUGACCUGUCAAAAUGGAUACCAAGUUGCUGAACCCAAUGGGGAUCAAACCCCUCCCUUUUGGUUCUGGAUCCUCUUCCACCUAUCAACUUUUGCCGAAAACACACAAUCUCUAUCCGGAUAUCUAAAGGAGGGUUGAGGAAAAAAAAGAUCUUCUCCAGGGAUUCCCUCCUUCAACUGGACGACAAGGAAAUAUUUAUCUACAAUUUUACCCUUCCGUUUUUUUUUGUUGCUUCUCUUGUCCAGUCAGCCUAACGUUAUCAACAUUUUCAGAAAGGCACAUUCAUCUUUUUCUGGGAAUGGAAUCCUUAACGGAUAAUUGAUUUCAAAUUUUGCAUUGAACUACGAAGCAGGGGGUGAAAACAACUUACCAGAUGAGUUGAGAUGUUGAACGAGCAUCUUCCGUAUAAGUAUAGAGAAAUGUUUUAUUGUCAACUCGGAAAGAGGACUCACAGAAGAAGAACAACACGUCCAAACUUGUUUUCGUCCAAUUGUCCAACUCAAACUGCGCAAGAUAAACAAACAAAACUUUCUGCCUAGAAAACGUUUCCCAGUUGAUUAACAGCAACUGUGUUCCAUCACGUGGAUGCUGGGCGACUGGUCCCGGUGUCACUUUCGAACCGCCAUCCCACGUCGUAUACACAAACGCACCUACCAUACUACAAGUUUGUUGUAGUACACACACACACAUCACACCGAAGUAGGAGGAGGAGGAUCCUUCACCACUCGCAUCGGAUCUAAAUGAUCUUGUGUGUCGGUCCAUUACGCCAGAGGAGGGGCUUCAAAUCGAUAGCUCCGCCUACUGCCUAGAGCCGAAUAUCGCUAUUGGACAGCGCUUGGAAAAGGGAGGAAAGAAAGAAGGUACAAGUAACCGCACAUCCCUGCAGGAGAAAUUGAAAUUCAAAAUGGAAGUUGCCGCCCACAAAAUAGCAUUUAAAGGGCCCUCCUGUUGCGUAAACUUGCUGUCGCCGUCAGUUGGUAUGUAGAUACAGCAAAACUACGCACACCCAAAUCACGGCUGCAUGAGACACUUUCAUUAAACUCACUUGCGUGCGGAUGCAAACGCUGUUCGAGCCCACCCCUAUAUCCAGUGAUGAAACCAUCGACCCCUUUUUUUUUCUUUAAUUUUUUUUUUUCUCUCUCUCUCAACUCUCUUUUCUUUUCCCCUUUAGUUUUUAAGAGAGAGAAAACUAACAUUUUCAGGAGCUAUACUCCCCCCCUCCCGCCGUUAAAUGAGGCGA